GGAAACUUGCUGUGGGUGACCAUGGCGCACGGAGCCAGCGUGGAUCUGCGCGGCGGCGGCUGCAGCUGCUCGGCGGCCUCCGCACAGCGGCCGCUACCGCAUCCCGGGGAGCUGCGGGGAGGAAGGCGCGCGCCGCGCUCCCAAGGUCCGGAACCAGCCGGGAUGGCAGAGAAGUGGCUCAGAAGGAGUGGGAGGUGGGAGUCUCCAGCAGGGACAGAGGUGAGAUUCUAAGGUAUGACAUUGGGGGCUGGCUCUCCGAGUCCCUUGCUUUCCACCUUGCUGCACUCACCUGGCCUCACAUGAGUGGAGUUCAGAGUGUCUUCACCUGGGUACGUGAACUGCCCCCCGUCCAGGAUUUCAUAAGACCCCAAUAAUUAUAAACAAAAUGCUGCUGGAAGUCCAGGUUUCGGGGGUAAGUGGACCUACUCAGAGUCGCUUCUUGCUCCUGCAAGACUUACUUUACAAAACCAUUCAUUCGCUCAUUCCUUUUUUUUUUUUUUUUUUUUUGACAGUGCCCCACGACAUGGGGGAUCUUAGUUGCCUGACCAGGGAUCGAACCCGUGUCCCAGCAUUGAAAACGUGGAGUCUUAAAUACUGGACUGCCAGGAAAGUCCCCAUUCAUUCAUUUCUUUAAGAGGUAACUUUUGAGCACCUGCUAUGUGUCAGAGAUUGGUCUGCGUGCUUGGAAUUUAUCGCUCUGGGCCCUCAUGGAGCUCAGGCUCUCUCCAGAAGUACAAGGUUCUCCCACAAUUGAUGUCAUGAUUAAUCAAUUUCGACUGUGCUAAGUACUGUGCAGGAGAAGUCACAGGGGCUGUGAGCAUAUUAUGGGGACACCCAGUCUAUAGGGGGGCACAUCUGAAGGGAACCCCUGAGGAAGGGACACGUGCAGAGUGAUGGGAAGCCGAGGUCUGGAGAGGUCACCUCCCCACAUCUCCCAGCUUGUAGGUGCUAGGAGCAAGCAGAGUCCGCGACAGGUGCGCCACCAGCAUCAGGGCGCCUGGGCUCUGCCACCAAGCAUCUUUCCCACUGUCCACUUCUGUCUCAUUUGUCACUCUCCCUCCCACCCACUAAAGGCCUUAGUCCCCAGCUUCCGAGCUCAACCUGAGGCAGCUACGCGCAGAGAAGAUGGAAUAUUCGACUCCAUUCUACUGUGGGAGGUGGGUCAGGCACAACCUCUAACUUCUGGAACUUUGGAAAGCGAAAAGAUGUUUCACGAACAGGCAGGACAGCCUCAUGGUUCAACAUUCAAAAGGCAAAAGGUACAGAUGAACUGUGACCUUCUACAGUUACCCUUCCUCCUGUGGUAUCUGGGGCAUUUUUUUUUUUUUUUUUUACAGAUCAAAAGAUGCCUGUGAAGUAGUGAGCUACAGGCUGAAGGAAACCCACAGAUACAGUGGUUGACCUGUACAGAAUUUAACAUUUUUGAGACAACAUUUAAAAAUCUGGCAAUUUCACAUCCAUAUUUGAAUUGGGGGCUUUUGGGGAACAAUCUGGCAGGUCUGGUGGGCCCUCUAGAUGGGACCUGGGCUCUCCAGCUCAGCAUAGCCCACCACCCAGGAUGACUGCCCUCCCCCCACUCCCCUUCCUGCCAGGAGCUGCAGGCAUAGAUGUGGCAACUCUACCUGGCUUCUGUCUUCCCACCUCUCUAGGCUAAGGCGUAAGGAGGAUGAUUGACUUUGGGGGAUUUCCUUUGAGUCUCUUUCAUAACUUCCGGGAGACUGGAAAUAAAUCAAGCCUGAGCCUGGGAGUCCGGAGCCUCUUCUCCCACCUGCUGGGGCCUGGUCUGAUUUGGCCUCAUCUCAACAAGGAGACUUGUCCUGCUGGAGACUCUGAUGACAAGAUUUUUGACACUGAAAAGUUUAAAUGACAAAUGCAAGAACCUUGACCGCUUCUCCACCCCUACCAGCAAGGUUGCUGGUUUGAACUCAGUGUUUGGACAAGUUGUUCUUCACAACCCGCAACUCCAACUUCCUCAGGUCCCUGGUGCCAGAAGACCUCAUCUCUCCCUGUUUUAGGGCCAUACAAGCCCGGUGGGGCCCAUGCCAGGUCCACUGCUGCAGCCCAGGGAAAAGCCAUUUUCUGAAACAGACGUUGGCAAACUAUGGUGCAGGGCUGGCAGGAUGCUUUUGUAAAUAAAGUUUUAUUGAAAA